rnacentral:rRNA from 1 species
CCUGCAGAGUUUGAUCCUGGCUCAGAGUGAACGCUGGCGGCGUGCCUAAUACAUGCAAGUCGAACGAUGAAGCCUAGCUUGCUAGGCGGAUUAGUGGCGCACGGGUGAGUAACGCAUAGAUGACAUGCCCUUUAGUUUGGGAUAGCCACUAGAAAUGGUGAUUAAUACCAAAUACUACCCUACGGGGGAAAGAUUUAUCGCUAAAGGAUUGGUCU